AAAUUCUGAAGGAUCAUCUUCUCACCUUAAUCAUCUCCUGAAGAUCAUUCACUGACAGGUGCAAUUUUACAACUUCUGCAGUGAUGGCCACCAUGACGACUCUUCUGUUAUUUUGCUCAGUUAUUACUUUAGGCUUCCUUUACGGUGUACAAGGUCAUCGUUGCCCUGUUGGAGCUGCAAUGUCAGAGUGUUCUGGUUGUUCGUCUAGAUGUCCAGUAGUACCUAAUCAAGUUUGUACCCUAAUGUGUACAUGGGGCUGUAAAUGUACACGGGCUGGAUAUGUUAUAGGUCCUGAUAACAAAUGUAUCCCAAAGGAAGACUGUCCAAAGGUGAAAUAAUAAGAUGAAGGCAAGAAACCUCUGAUCAAAGGAAGACGACAUUGACGCCUCAGAGAAGAUUUGUUCCUAGUCCUGAGAAAAAAUAUGGAUAAAAUAAAAUUGUAACUAAAAUUGUGUAACAAUUCUAACUAUUAUACCCAAUAAACCAUUGAUAGCAUCGUAA